UGAUCGGGCAAAAGAAACGGAAAGAUACGAACAAAAGCAGUCGAACACGGAUGAAUGGGAGAUGCGAAGGAACAAUCGGCGGGCCAGAAGGGAGCGCGAACGAAGAUGAUGAAAGGGAAGCACGAAGGCUUUGCAGGCGGCACGAGGUUUCAGUGAUCGAUUGCGAUAAGGAUCGCCGUCUUCGGGGUUCAACGAGACUGAAAGGGGAGAAGCAGCGAAGCUGCUGUGGUCUCGGUGGAUGCAGCGAGGAGCUGAUCAAGCAGCUUCUCGGAUGCUUGCUUCAGUCUCGGUAGCGGGUUGCGAAGGAAAUGCGAGGAAGAUGUACGAGGGGCGAGGGUUGGUUCGACUGAAGCGACAGAAACCGCAGUAGGGUGUUAGUCGGCAAUUUUGCGACGGGGAAAAAGGGAAGUGCGAUGAGGUGUUUUGCUCCAAUCGGUAGCAGGAAGGAAUGAAAAAGAAUGAUGGUGAGGAGGCUGUUUUGCUGCUUGAAAUCAAAUGGAAGAAGAAGAAACGAGGCUGCGAUCGUUACAAGGAUAGAGAAGGGCAACAACCUUCUUCUUUGGCUGAAGAUCCAGAAACGGUAAAGAAAUGGUAGAAGAUAUAUCUUUUUGUAUUAUUAUUAUUAUUAUUAUUAUUAUUUAUAAAAACUGAUUUGAUUUUGAUUGAGUUUGAGUGUAGCCAAGUAAGGAGUCUUGCAAGUAAUAUUUUGUGUAGAUGUACACUCCAAAAUUGUAGCAUUGAUUGGUAAAGUGUAUAAGUUUCAUUUUGUUUUGGCUGUGAAUUUAAGAGGUGUAUUUGAUGUUAAAUUUGCAAGCAAUGUAUUGAUUUUAUCAUUCAUGUAUUUAUGUGAUGUAUUGGUUUAAUUA